AAAAAAAGAAAAGGAAAAAAGGAAAAUAAAAAUAAAAAGGAAAAAAAAAAAAGAUGUGUUGGCUGAAAUCAGCGUAUUCCAGGCCAAACUGUGCUGCAGCAGAACCUCGUGGGACUUCAGCUGAACAGAGCUGGGGAAAAACAUGGGGAAAACAUGGGGAAAAUAUGGGGAAAACAUGGGGAAAACAUGGAUGAAAGGCAGGUUUGGGUGAUGAUGAGGGCUCAGCUCUUUCAGUGCAAUGCUGUGAAAGUUAGCACCUUCCAUUUGGAAAGCCAAAUGGGUCCAGAUGCUCCCAGUGUAGCCCAGUCUGGGCUCACCUCAUGUUUUCCAUCCCCAGGCACCCUGAGGGAGAGGAAGAAGAGUCCAGGAGGGAGGAAGGCUCUGAGCCUCGCGCCACCUAACUCUGCUGUGGAGCCAGACCAGAUUUACAGGUCUCUUUGCCUAUCAGUGAGGCGCUCUGGAAAGUGGCUGCUUCUGAGGUGCAUGGAAAUAGAGACACAGAACCUGAAAUGGGCGGACCGGUGGGGGUGGAAGAGCCCUUUCUGACACUUCCAACAGCUGUCCAGCUCCCAGCCUCCCAGCCUCAGGACGCACCGAGAACCCCUCCAAAACCCACCUCCAUGGUGCAGCUCAGGGUGAACCGAGGCCAAAUUCUGCAAAUCCUGAAUGCUGUGUCUGGAGGGGCUUUGGGUAGUCCCACAGCAAUGCCCUUUGGGAGCCACAAGGCAGCCCAUGGGCACGGGGCAAUGGCACGCUGUGCUCCCGACGCUGGGACUCUCCCAGCUCUCCCACCCAUGCACACACAUUAAUAAAAGAUCAGUUUGCAGACGCAGCUUGCUGUAGAUGACAGCAUUAGAGGCGCAUCUGGUUUCUGCUAAGCACCGCUCUCGUGCUGGGUUUAUUUGGUCCAUUUGUGGCAGGGAAGAGUUGCUUUCGGCAUUCAGUGGUGUCUCGUGUCUGGGAGAGGUGGGGGGGAAGAUGUAUUUUUGGUGCAGCUUAGCCACAAAAAUUCGGUUUCAGAAUAAAGACAAAUAUUCCUGUUUUCUAUCCGCUGCUAAACGGAGCCUUCAUUUGUCUGAGAACUUGGCAUCCUGCUGGAAAAAAAAAGAUGUUCUGAUGGGAAAAGUCCAUUGGUUGGUAUUGAUCAGGCAUUGGGACUGGCAGAUGUCAGCUUCAGCCUGGCCAAGAAAGCAGCUCCCAUCCUUUCCCAAGGGCUGUGAGGGAGGAGGAAGUGGGGCUUUUGUGGUUUUGGCUGCUUUAGGCUGAAUGUUGGUGCAGCAAUGGAAAGGCAGGCACCUAACCUGGGCUGCUCCCAGCUUCACUGCACCUCUCAUUGCUUCCCACCAGCAGGGCAAGGGCAGACACUGCAGCUCCCUUCAGGCUGCUUCUCUGCAGGGAGAACUUGCUGAAUGUCCACAGAGGUUUCCUAAUAGAUUUCUUUUUUCUCCCUGAAGCUUUUUAAUUAAACCUUUCCGAUCCCAACUCACUUUCGAUUUUAUUUUCAUAAAGGCAUUACGAUAUUCAGGAAGAAUAAAACUGCUGCUGUACCUGGAGCUGCCUUCAUUUUACAGCAGAAUGAAAGCAAAUGUGGAGUCAGUAGUGCCAGGAGCAGAGGGGAUGCCCAUGCAGCACAGGAGAGAUUGGGGACUGGAAAGACAAAAGCUUAUCUGGACGGGAGCCUCAAAAGCAGAAGCAGCUCCUUGGAUGCUAUACACCUGUGCUCCCUGGAGGUGCUGGUACUGCUGCAGCACGGCUCUGUGUAUUGAUUUAAGGGAGAAUAAAGGUCAGGAGCUGAGCAGGAGGAGGCUGAGCACGUUUGGGUGGGCAGCGAUGAGCGGAGCUGCAUGUGGGCAAGGACAAAACCAGGAUGGAGACGAGCCAGAGCUCCAACAGCCCCAGUGUGUGAGCGCAGAGCCCGGCACAGCUCUCCUGGCAGAUGGCUGAGCCCACCAGCAGGGCCCAUCCAGCCACAGCCAUCCCAGGUUUAGGGAAAACCCAGAUUUCAGCUUAGGCCUUACCAUCAGCAAGUCUGACUUUUCCUCCAGUCUGGACUUGCACACGUACGUAGCCAAAAAAAGAGACAAAAUAAAAGCAGAAAGGAGGACGCCAGCAAAGCAGAAGGGCCAGCUGGACGUGGCACAGACGGCGCGGCGCUUUGGGUCACUGCACUGAGAGCUCUGCUCCAUCAGCUGCAUGGGGGAGUGGUGGAUUUGGGGCUGAAGGUUUCCUGAGCCAGCCCUCUGUCUGGUGACCUCUGGGACGGAUGGUUUCAUGAGAAAUGGCCUCAAUUUACUCAACCCGUUGCAGCAAUCGGCGGCUGGCCGAGGUGGCUGCUGCCUGUGCUGGGAUGCGUGCUGAUCCCAGGAGGUCCUCAGUGGGUGGGAGGGGAAAUUUGCUCAAUCAAAAAUUGCAUCGCUGCUGCUGGCCAAAAGCUCACUGUGCUUUACGAGAAGAGCAGGUCCUGCAGUGUCAGCCCUCGUGGCCCCUCCAAGGAGAUGCGUUACCACUGGGAAGGAAGGGAGGGUUGGGACAUCUCCAUCUCCCGAAAAUACGAUGUGGGAGAAACCAAACGGGAAAUGGAGGAGUGGGCUGAGCACAGCUGGGGGUGAGGACCCGCAGCCCCACACAGCUUUACAGGAGGCGAAGCCUUAGGCUGCACUGCGCUGCUCCCCGGGGUCUUGCUGCCUGUCUGCUUUCAUCAUUGCUCUGUGAGAAGGGAAAGGGACCACACAGCAGCAAAACGUCCUGGAAAUGUGCAAGGGAGAGCGUUCCCAGAGCCCUUCCCUGUCCCAUCGCCUUCGUGCACAAUUGGCUAUGGAGGAUGUAUGGCUCUGUAUAGGCUCCAGCUCUGUGAGAUAAUGCUUUGCAAUGACAUCCCUAAUUACAGCCAGCAGGAGCACUUUCCCAGCUCUGAUCGCACACACAGUUUUCUGCUGGACCAAAAGAGACAGGACCCAAACUGGCUGCAUCCUCUCUGAUCCCAAGGCAUCCUGAAGGUUCCUUGCAUCCCAUAACUUGUCCUUUCAUAGGAGAGAAAAAGAAAAACAAACAAACAAAAACAAGGAAAGCAAAGCUACAAUAGAAGCAGGAGAAGGAAAG